GGCGUUAAGCGUGAUUAAGGUUUACAUUAACUAGAGCCAAACCACUUCUAAGCCGUUAUACGCAAUCGAAGAAAUGAAGCCCUAUCACGAAAGUAGCUCUACAUACCCUGAACCCACGGAAAUCCAUAUAACAAACUGGGAUUAGAUACCCCACUAUGUAUGGCUAUAAACAAAGAUGGUGUAUCACACAACCAUUCGCCCGGGAACUACAAGCACUAGCUUAAAACCCAAAGGACUUGGCGGUGCUUUAUACCCCCCUAGAGGAGCCUGUUCUAAAACCGAUAACCCCCGUUUAACCUCACCCCCUUUUGUUUAACCCGCCUAUAUACCGCCGUCGUCAGCUUACCCUGUGAAGGCCCAUAGUAAGCAAAAUUAGCACAGCCCAAAACGCCAGGUCGAGGUGUAGCGCAUAAGGGGGGAAGAAAUGGGCUACAUUCUCUCAAUGAGAUUAUUACUAAUGGUAAAUUGAAAUAUUAACCUGAAGGAGGAUUUAGCAGUAAGUAGAAAACAGAGUUUUCCACUGAAA
rnacentral:rRNA from 1 species